AAUUUGUUGUGGGCAAAUAAAAUGAAUGUGGGAAUCAACUCCACCAGCUGUCACAAUUUGACCUUCGCCUGCGAUUACUUCCGUACCCGGUCCAAUAACAAUAGUAAUGUUGUCUUGAAUGUCAGGGUUACCGGCUUUACCGAUUCCCACUAUACGGCCACGUUUCAUACCUAUGUCUGCUUUAACAAUACCCCAAUGAUCAACAAUAAGGGCAUUAGUAAUCACGGUAUCCAC
rnacentral:sRNA from 1 species